GAUGAACGCUAGCUACAGGCUUAACACAUGCAAGUCGAGGGACCGGCGCACGGGUGAGUAACACGUAUCCCACCUGCCCUUUACUCGGGGAUAGCCUUUCGAAAGAACGAUUAAUACCCGAUAUAAAGGAUGGGGAUGCGUUCGAUUAGGUUGUUGGGAAGGUAACGGCCCACCAAGCGUUCGCUGGAUAGGGGUGCUGAGGGGAAGCCCCACCGGAUUGGAACUGAGGCACGGUCCACAACCCGACGGGAGAGAGGGGUGAGGAAUAUUGUGCAAUGGACGCUAGUCGGAACCUGCCGAGUAGCGUGAAGGAGGCAGGGUUAUGGGACGAAAUUUUCUUGUAUAUAAGAGUAUGUAUCAGAUGAAGAAGGAUCGGCUAACUCCGUGCCAGCAGCCGCGGUAAUAC
rnacentral:rRNA from 1 species